AACGAACGCUGGCGGCGUGCUUAACACAUGCAAGUCGAACGCGAAAGGGACUUCGGUCCCGAGUAGAGUGGCGCACGGGUGAGUAACGCGUAAGUAAUCUACCCCUGCAUUCGGAAUAACCCACCGAAAGGUGAGCUAAUACCGGAUACGUUUAUCUUGAUGCGAAUGAUGAUAAAGAAAGGUGGCCUCUUCAUGAAAGCUACUGUGCAGGGAUGAGCUUGCGUACCAUGAGCUAGUUGGUAGGGUAAUGGCCUACCAAGGCGACGAAGGUUAGCGGGUCUGCGAGGAUGGUUCGCCACACUGGAACUGGAACCCGGACCAGACUCCUACGGGAGGCAGCAGUGAGGCAUAUUGCGCAAUGGGGGCAAACCAGACGCAGCGACGCCGCGUGGGUGAUGAAGGCCCUUGGGUCGUAAAAUCCUGUCAGAGGGAAAGAAGCGUAUAGGUGCUAAUAUCGCCUGUAUUUGACGGUACCAGCAGAAGAAGCACCGGCUAACUCCGUGCCAGCAGCCGCCGUAAAAC
rnacentral:rRNA from 1 species